GUGCCAGCCGCCGCGGUAAUACGGAGGGUGCAAGCGUUAAUCGGAAUUACUGGGCGUAAAGCGCACGCAGGCGGUUUGUUAAGUCAGAUGUGAAAUCCCCGGGCUCAACCUGGGAACUGCAUCUGAUACUGGCAAGCUUGAGUCUCGUAGAGGGGGGUAGAAUUCCAGGUGUAGCGGUGAAAUGCGUAGAGAUCUGGAGGAAUACCGGUGGCGAAGGCGGCCCCCUGGACGAAGACUGACGCUCAGGUGCGAAAGCGCGGGGAGCAAACAGGAUUAGAUACCCUGGUAGUCCACGCCGUAAACGAUGUCGACUUGGAGGUUGUGCCCUUGAGGCGUGGCUUCCGGAGCUAACGCGUUAAGUCGACCGCCUGGGGAGUACGGCCGCAAGGUUAAAACUCAAAUGAAUUGACGGGGGCCCGCACAAGCGGUGGAGCAUGUGGUUUAAUUCGAUGCAACGCGAAGAACCUUACCUGGUCUUGACAUCCACGGAAGUUUUCAGAGAUGAGAAUGUGCCUUCGGGAACCGUGAGACAGGUGCUGCAUGGCUGUCGUCAGCUCGUGUUGUGAAAUGUUGGGUUAAGUCCCGCAACGAGCGCAACCCUUAUCCUUUGUUGCCAGCGGUCCGGCCGGGAACUCAAAGGAGACUGCCAGUGAUAAACUGGAGGAAGGUGGGGAUGACGUCAAGUCAUCAUGGCCCUUACGACCAGGGCUACACACGUGCUACAAUGGCGCAUACAAAGAGAAGCGACCUCGCGAGAGCAAGCGGACCUCAUAAAGUGCGUCGUAGUCCGGAUUGGAGUCUGCAACUCGACUCCAUGAAGUCGGAAU
rnacentral:rRNA from 1 species